AAAUAGAGGCGCGGCUCUCAAGAGUAGCGGGAGGGAGGCUGCCAAAGCCUAUGAGCUCCGUGAAAGGGUUGGCCGCCGAAGGGGAAUAUCAGGCGGGUAUUGUCCUGGCUGCAGCGGCAAAGAGCCUUGUGGCUGUCAUCACUUGUGAUGGAGUGCUAUUU
rnacentral:ncRNA from 1 species